rnacentral:rRNA from 1 species
AUUGAACGCUGGCGGCAGGCCUAACACAUGCAAGUCGAACGAGUGGCGGACGGGUGAGUAAUGUCUGGGACACUGUCUGAUGGAGGGGGAUAACUACUGGAACCGGUAGCUAAUACCGCAUACCAUCAGAUGUGCCCAGAUGGGAUUAGCUAGUUGGUGGGGUAACGGCGUACCAAGGCGACGAUCCCUACCUGGUCUGAGAGGAUGACCGGCCACACUGGAACUGAGACACGGUCCAGACUCCGACGGGAGGCAGCAGUGGGGAAUAUUGCACAAUGGGCGGAAGCCUGAUGCAGCCAGGCCGCGUGUAUGAAGAAGGCCAUCGGGUUGUAAAGUACUUUCGUCGGGGAGGCGUUACCCGCAGAAGAAGCACCGGCUCACUCCGUGCCAGCAGCCGCGGUAAUUC